GCAAGUCGUACGUGAAAGCUUCCUUCGGGAAGUAAGUAAAGUGGCGCACGGGUGAGUAACACGUGGAUAAUCUAUCCGGUAGUCAGGGAUAACAUUUCGAAAGAAAUGCUAAUACCUGAUAAGCCCACGAUCUCUUCGGAGGACGAGGGAAAAGGUGGGGACCUUCGGGCCUGCCGUUGCUGGAUGAGUCCGCGGCCCAUUAGCUAGUUGGUAGGGUAAUGGCCUACCAAGGCUACGAUGGGUAGCUGGUCUGAGAGGAUGAUC
rnacentral:rRNA from 1 species